GGCAUGUUCUGUCAAACCCUCCUUUCCUGUCGGGGAGUAGCAGCCAUGAUGGUAUGUCAUUCCAGUUCUAUAACUUCUUGGCUAUUUUUGGUUCAUCCUCUUUUUUUGGUUGUGAUUGCUUCCAACGGUCUUAUUUAUUUUUUAAGAUUCAGUGUUGUUCAGUGAAAAACUACGGAGUCUGGAGCCAGCUGCCAGGGUUGAAUCCAGCUCUGCACUUAACGAGCUGAGCGCCUUGGGCAAGUUGCUUCACCUCUCUGUGCCCCCUAGUUUCCUCAUCUGUUAAAUGGGGAUGCUGAUGGUACCUGCCUCUCAGGAAGGAGUAUUGCCAGGGGUAUUGUUUCAAAACCUCCACAAAUACUCCGUGAAGGCUCAUGGAUCCUGUGAGAAAAGAACUAUUAUUGCCAUCAAGGCUGUGUUCCAGCUGAGGAAACCUGGGCCUGGUUUCUUACUGGAGAAACUUAGCAACUUAGCAACGUCACGUAGCUGGUAAGUGCCAGAGCCUGAGUUUAAACCCACGGAAGCUAGGAAAAAGAAAAAGGAGAAGAAGAAAAAGAAAAGCCCACGGAAGCUGGCUCCGGAGGUCAUGCCCUUUGCCACGGCAUUAUUCUUCGCAGGCAGCACUCCCGUGAGCAUUCAGCUUCCAGAGUAAGCCUUUGCCAUUUUUAUUCCCAAUUCGGGGACAGAUGGUGGCACCAGACCCAGGAGGGCAGAGCCUCUGAGCUCCGCAGCAAACAGUGCCCCCAGGCCAAAGCGACAAGACCACAGCUCUCCCUGGGCAAACCCGGUUAAGCAGACGUAGGAUGGUUUCCUUCCAAGAACGUCUCUCCUGUCCACGUCCUUGUCAGUUUUCCCAUCAGGAGAAUGGGCAUGUGUAAUAUGCACCCGUGGCAAUAGCCGCAAGAACUAAUUAGCGCCUGAAAUGUGUGUCAAGAUCCCCGGCGAGAGGUGCUGUAAUAGGGGCAAAGGAUUCUCGCAUGAGUUCCAGUUUUGCCUCCUGUGGCCCGGUCCUCCCUGGGCGGGAGGUGGUGCCCCGUCUUGUUGAGAUCUGAUCUCUAAAUGCAACUGUGUGUUUUCUUUCAUCCAAAUGACUGUGCUCAUCUCGGGAGCAGCCUUUAAUUUUCUUCUUGGAACCGAGGACCAUCCUUACUUACAGCAACAAAAGGUCCCUGGGACGGUGAGGUAAGAUUUGAAUUAAGAUACCUUGGCAUCCUUCACUCCCCGGCAAUUAACGGGCAGCAGGUUUUCAGCAGCACUCACUCUCCUGAGAGCGCCCUUUGUCUCAGGACUGCCUGUCUGUCCUGUUGUCCGUCGUCCCGAUGCAGCAGCCCCCCGGCGGCCGGCUGUCUGCAAGGUGCCAGGCAGGUGCACGGCGUGGCGGGGACCUCCGAGGGCCCAGCCUGAUGGGGAAGCCGUGUGGCUCUCAGACCCCCGUCUGCGUGGCGAACAGCACAUACGGCCGGGCCCCAGUGACUCCGAGGGGCUGGCUGUCCAGGCGGCCCGUUCUCCCCGUGUCUUCCUCACCCUCACCUGCCUCUGGGCCACCGUUGUUCAUUAUUAGCAUCCCUCUCGGAGAAGAGAGAGGAGACAAGAGCCAACCUUUGCUUGUCCGUUUGGCUCCUCGUCAGCGACUCUGUCCUUGACCCGAGCGGGUUCAUUUGUGAAAGGCGUUAAACGGCAGAGCUGACGGAGGGAUGGCAACUCUGUGCAAAGCGGGGACGGUUCUGGAAGGAGAUUCAGACAUUCCACACGGGAAGCUAGCGCGGUCCGUUCGCUCUGUGGCGUCUACGGAGACCUGCUGAAGGAACGGAACCUGCCGGUGUGCAGGAGGGCCGAACCUCCUGGGAAGGGCUGCGUCCCAGCCACCCCACCGAGGCUGGCCGCCAUCAGGGCCCGGUCGGGGCCUCGGCGUAGUAAGGGAAGUACUUACUAACAACGGGUGGGGAUGGGCUGGAAGGAAAACGUGAUAGGACUCGUUCAGCCUUGUCCAGGCCACACCCAGUGUAGUCAACGACUUCUGAACCCGGAGAACGUAAAGGAACACAGUGGAGCUUGGACCGAGGGCUUUGAAAUAAAAAUGUCAACUCGCUGCUGCGAGUGUGGCCCAAUCCCGUCCUCUUCCAGAAGAGAAAUGCCCCACGUGGCCAGGCUGGUCCUGAAAAGGAGCCCCGUCCUACAGACACCGGACUGUUCUACUGAAGGAACAGCCUGCCGGUCUGAUCUGCUUCCUCCCCUUGAAACAGAGGAACCGGGACUGGCUGACCCGCUAGAGCUGUGUCAGCAGGAAUCAGAGGGAAUCCGUUUUCUGCCAGGAUGGAAUUGAACCUCCACAGGCAUGCGCUGUGGCGGCAUCUAAAAAUACGUUUUCUAGGCGCCUGAAAUGUAAACGCAGGUAAAAUAAAUAAAAGCCAAUUAACAAUA